rnacentral:rRNA from 1 species
CUGGCGGGAUCCUUUACACAUGCAAGUCGAACGGCAGCAUAGAGAGCUUGCUCUCUGAUGGCGAGUGGCGAACGGGUGAGUAAUAUAUCGGAACGUGCCCAGUAAUGGGGAAUAACUAGCCGAAAGGUUAGCUAAUACCGCAUACGACCUACGGGUGAAAGCAGGGGAUCUUUUGACCUUGCGUUAUUGGAGCGGCCGAUAUCUGAUUAGCUUGUUGGUGGGGUAAAAGCCUACCAAGGCAACGAUCAGUAGCUGGUCUGAGAGGACGAUCAGUCACACUGGAACUGAGACACGGUCCAGACUCCUACGGGAGGCAGCAGUGGGGAAUUUUGGACAAUGGGGGCAACCCUGAUCCAGCCAUCCCGCGUGAGUGAAGAAGGCCUUCGGGUUGUAAAGCUCUUUCGAAAGUGAAGAAAACUUAUUUCGUAAUAUGUUAUAAGUAUGACGGUAACUUUUAGAAGAAGCACCGGCUAACUACGUGCCAGCAGCCGCGGUAAUACGUAGGGUGCGAGCGUUAAUCGGAAUUACUGGGCGUAAAGCGUGCCCAGGCGUUUUGUAAGUCAAAUGUGAAAUCCCCGAGCUUAACUUGGGAACUGCGUUUGAACUACA